AUUCAAACACUGAUUCCCGUAUGAUCACUGAAGUUAAGCAAUGGGAAGCGUGGUCAGUACCUAGAUUGGUGACUGCUUGGGAAUCUUAGGUGGUGA